UACGUAGGGUGCAAGCGUUACUCGGAAUUACUGGGCGUAAAGCGUGCGCAGGCGGUUUUGUAAGUCUGUCGUGAAAUCCCCGGGCUCAACCUGGGAAUUGCGAUGGAGACUGCAAGGCUAGAAUCUGGCAGAGGGGGGUAGAAUUCCACGUGUAGCAGUGAAAUGCGUAGAGAUGUGGAGGAACACCGAUGGCGGAGGCAGCCCCCUGGGUCAAGAUUGACGCUCAUGCACGAAAGCGUGGGGAGCAAACAGG
rnacentral:rRNA from 1 species